UAAAAAACAUUGAUAGGGAAGAGUAGAUAGUGACUAUUUUUUAGAGAAUGAGGAUUUUGGUGAAAUCUCAUAAUAUAGCUAUUGAAGGUAGCCCUGGAGUUAUGAGCUGAACUUUGAGUAGGCUUUAUCGGUAGAAACCGUUAUUACUUUAAGUAAAAAAAUUGGGUGGUACCGCGCGACCAGACUUCUCGCCCCAAAG
rnacentral:ncRNA from 1 species